GGAAGGAGGGUAGAGUGCGUGCUUAGCAAGCACGAGGUCCUGGGUUCAAUCCCUAGUACUUCCA
rnacentral:tRNA from 1 species